UACGAAGGGUGCAAGCGUUACUCGGAAUUACUGGGCGUAAAGCGUACGUAGGCGGUUUGUUAAGUCUGUCGUGAAAGCCCCGGGCUCAACCUGGGAAUGGCGAUGGAUACUGGCGAGCUAGAGUACGGUAGAGGAGAGUGGAAUUCCCGGUGUAGCAGUGAAAUGCGUAGAGAUCGGGAGGAACAUCAGUUGCGAAGGCGGCUCUCUGGACCAGUACUGACGCUGAGGCACGAAAGCGUGGGGAGCAAACAGG
rnacentral:rRNA from 1 species